rnacentral:rRNA from 1 species
GCAUGGCUGUCGUCAGCUCGUGUCGUGAGAUGUUCGGUUAAGUCCGCUAACGAGCGCAACCCUCGCUGUGUGUUAUAUGUGUCACACGGGACUGCCGGUCUUAAGCCGGAGGAAGGUGGGGAUGAUGUCAAGUCAGCAUGGCCUUUAUAUCCUGGGCUACACACACGCUACAAUGGCCAACACAAUAGGUUGCUAAGCCGCGAGGUGGCGCCAAUCCAUAAAGUUGGUCUCAGUUCAGAUUGUAGGCUGCAACCCGCCUGCAUGAAGAUGGAGUUGCUAGUAACCGCAGGUCAGCUAUACUGCGGUGAAUACGUUCCCGGGGCUU